AACCCGGUGAUCUAGCCAUGGGCAGGUUGAAGGUUGGGUAACACUAACUGGAGGACCGAACCGACUAAUGUUGAAAAAUUAGCGGAUGACUUGUGGCUGGGGGGGAAAGGCCAAUCAAACCGGGAGAUAGCUGGUUCUCCCCGAAAGCUAUUUAGGUAGCGCCUCGUGAAUUCAUCUCCGGGGGUAGAGCACUGUUUCGGCAAGGGGGUCAUCCCGACUUACCAACCCGAUGCAAACUGCGAAUACCGGAGAAUGUUAUCACGGGAGACACACGGCGGGUGCUAACGUCCGUCGUGAAGAGGGAAACAACCCAGACCGCCAGCUAAGGUCCCAAAGUCAUGGUUAAGUGGGAAACGAUGUGGGAAGGCCCAGACAGCCAGGAUGUUGGCUUAGAAGCAGCCAUCAUUUAAAGAAAGCGUAAUAGCUCACUGGUCGAGUCGGCCUGCGCGGAAGAUGUAACGGGGCUAAACCAUGCACCGAAGCU
rnacentral:rRNA from 1 species